AGGGGUAUAGCUCCAAUGGUAGAGCAGCGGUCUCCAAAACCGCGUGUUCUGGGUUCGAGUCCUAGUGCCCCUGCCA
rnacentral:tRNA from 1 species